rnacentral:rRNA from 1 species
UACGUAGGCAGCAAGCGUUGUUCGGAGUUACUGGGCGUAAAGGGUGUGUAGGCGGUCUCGUAAGUCUGGUGUGAAAUCUCCCGGCUCAACUGGGAGGGUGCGCCGGAAACUGCGAGGCUAGAGUGUGGGAUGGGAGAGUGGAAUUCCUGGUGUAGCGGUGAAAUGCUUAGAUAUCGUCAAGAACACCGAUAGCGAAGGCAGCUUACUGGGCUGUAACUGACGCUGAGGCACGAAAGUGUGGGGAUCAAACAGG